rnacentral:rRNA from 1 species
ACAAUUAACAAUUUUUUUCGCUUCCCGGAUGGUUGGAGAACUCAAGUGACACGACCGAGUAUCGCCGUCAAUAAAGAACUUCGUUUACAUUAUUAUUUUUAUUAUUAUCAUUAUUAUCAUCAUCAUCAUACAACGUUAAACAGUAGGGCAAGCCCCAUUGACUACUGCCUUUCUCACCAUGUUGCCCGUAGAAGUAGAAAGAACGAAUAUACAAGAUGGAUAAGGAGUGGACCUACACAGGAGGGGAAAAGAAACAACGCCCUAAUAGCCAACAAAUGGAAUACACAGUCUAAUUGUACAAGCACACAUUGACCAGUCAUCCUGAUUCGACAGAAAGUGACAACACGAUCGCCACUGUUCACGGUUCGCUGCCAUAUCCUUCAGUGUCUCCAGCCUACUGGCCAAGGGAUCUUUUUGACUCCAACGACGAAGACGUGAGGCACCUACUUUUCCUAAUUUCGCUGCACAUUUUCUCAUGCCUCGUUGCCAUGUCAUCUGUUGACCUUCACGUGGUUUCCUCCACUCCCUAGGAGAAACGGAAAACAAGGCACGGUUUGUUAGACGUGUCUUCGCCAUACGUAACACNUGCAAAAUCUUCAGGAUGUAGGCGUCGAACUAAGAAAUAGGGGAAAGCUGUGUGAUCUAGAUUACGCAGACGACGUUGUCUGUUUGUUCGAAUCCACGGAACAUGCUCAACGUGCACCAGAUAGACUCUCAAGAGCCGUAGCUUUAUUCGGCAUGCGCUUUGGACCUUCAAAGGGCAAGGUGGUGUUACAAAACUGGACGGCAACGAUUCCGAGUUUGAUGGACGAUGGGGAAGUGCUGUCAAUUGCUGAUCGCUUCAGUUACAUUGGGAGCAGCGUGACGAUGGAUGGGAACACAGUGUUAGAGGUGAGCACGCGAAUAUCCAAGACUCGAGGGGCGUACGCUGGACUGCAGCACUUGUGGCGCCGACCUGAUAUUUCACUGAAUUUGGAAGGUCGUGUGUACUGUGCUGCAGUGCGUUCAGUUUUGUUGUAUGGUUGUGAGACUUAGAGUCUGCGCACUGAUGAUAUUCGUCGUCUUGAGGUUUUUAACCAUCGAUAUUUCCGUAGUAUCGGUAAGACUCGGUGGAAUAGCAGAGUGAGCAAUGCUGAGGUCUGAAACCGAGUAUUGGGUAUUAAUUCGGAGAACAUUCUGUCACAGUGUAGACUUCGAUAGUUGGGGCCGGUGUUACGUAUGACAAACACACGUCUGCCGUACGGUGUCCUAUUCUCCGUUCCGCCUAGGGUGUGGAAGAAACCACGUGGAGGUCAACAGAUGACAUGGCAACGAGGAAUGAUGAAAUGUACAGCAAACUUAAGAAAAGUAGGUGUCUCACGUCUUCGUUGUUGGGGUCAAAAAGAUCCCUUGGCCAGUAGGCUGGAGACACUGAAAGAUAUGGCAGCGAACCGUCAACAGUGUCCAUCGUGUUGUCACUUCCUGUUGAAUCAGAAUGGUUGAUCGAUGUGUGUUUGAACAAUGAGGCUGUGUAUUCUGUGUGUUGGCUGCUAGGGCAUUCUUUCCUUUUCCCACUCGUGUAGGUCCACUUCCUGUCCAUCCUUUAUAUCCAUACUUUCUAAUUCAAUGUGCAACAUGGUGAGAAAGGCAGUGGUCAGUGGGGCUGGCUCUGUUUAACGCUGUACGAUGAUGAUGAUACUGCUGUAAGCCUCAUCUGCCAUCCGUGGUUUGUUUGGAAUCAGGGUUUAGCCAUCUCCCCUAGACUGACUAUUAGUCAAUGAACCCGGUGGAGAGCGCUGAGCAUUUGCUUUCGUCCUCUAACUUUAGUGGGAACACCCGCCACGAGAAGGCAGUGAGUAGGCCUUCCUCAGCAGAGACUGUGUUAGACGCACGGUCACUUGGGAGCAUUUCGAGGCGUUCAGGAUGAGUAACCACUUUGGAGCCUGAGAUACCCAAACCCAACCAUACUGAGGCAUCUGGAGACAGUCAGCAAACGCCUGCUGUUGGUACGGGUUUAGCUUCAGUUUGGUUUGAAUUCACCCUGAACAGAAUGAUGCACAUGCCAUCCUCAGCUUUUUGAUACAUCUAGUUCUGCACUUGACGCGCAGCGAUUUCUGACGUGCCAUAAUUCGAUCGUCAAACGUUGAGUAUUAGGGGGCGAAGACUAAUCGAACACAAUUCUAGUAGCUGUUCCCCUCGCGAAGUUUUGCCCCUCCAGGAUAGCUGGCAUUCUGUGAUAUAAAACAGUUUUAGUCCGCGAUAAAGCGAAAUGAUUAGAGGCAUCUGGGGGGCGAAACGUCCUCAACCUAUUCUCAAACUUAUAAAAUGUGUGAGAAGCCUAACUCGCUCACAACGGAGCUGGCGUUGAAUGUGAGUGCCUAAGUGGGCCAUUGUGUAAGCAGAAACUGGCGCUGUGGGAUGAACCAAAACGUUCGGUUAAGGUGCCUAACGGCGACCGCUCCCAAUGAGAUAUCCACAAAAGGUGUUGGUUGGUCCAGACAGGCAGGACGGUGGCCGAUAGGAAGUUUGGGAAUCCGCUAAGGAGUGUAGUAAACAACUCACCUUGCCCGAAAUCAACCAGCCUGAAAAUGGAUGGCGCUGAGCGUCGGACCUAUACCGGACCGUUCAUUGCAAGCUGAGGUCGGCUAAUGUGUGGUGUGAGGCGGCAAGCGCAUCAGGGGAAACCUUUUCCCCAGGCCGCGCGGCGGGGGGGGAACUUUUUGGGGGUCCUGUGACGAAGUAGGAGGGUCGCCGUGGUGAGGGCCGGAAAGCUUCGGGCGUGGAGCUGGAGUGCGCGCGCCACGCGCGCUCGCCACGAUCUUGGUAGGUAGUAAGCAAAUAUUCAAGUGAUGAACCUUUGAAGGCCGAAGGUGGAGAAGGGUUCCAUGGGAACAGCCAGUUCGCCAAGGGUCAGGCGGUCCUAAGUAUCCGGUAAAAUCGGUGCAGAGACGGGGUGCCUGACAUUGUCAGGAUUUGCUGCCAAUUGUUUAGCUGUUGCACGGUAGCCCCGCUGUAGCGAAAGGGAAUCCGGGUUAAUAUUCCCGACCCUGCCCCGGAGAUUGUGUAUUCUGGCUUCGGUUCAGUUUGCACCGCUGGCGGCGGGUAAUCGCAAAUCGACCUCGGAGGGACGUACGCGAGAGUUCUGUGAAGAGUUUUCUCUUUUCUUUGUUAGGAGUGCACCAAUCCCCUGAAACGGGUUGUACCCGGAGUAUAGUGGGACUAGCCUCCCCGUAAGCACGCCAGCCCUUCUUGUGGUGGUCCGGAACACCCUCUUGUCGACCCUUGAUAAAUCCGAGGACGAAGGCUAUAUAAUUUUCGUGGCAGGUCACCGUACCCAUAUCCGCAUGCAGGUCUGCCGCAAAGGUGAAACAGCCUCUGGCAUUUGAACCAUGUAAGGUAAGGGAUAGUUCGGACAAAUUGGAUCCGUAACUUCGGGAAAAGGACUUGGGCCCUCUGAGCGGCCCGAGUCAAACGGCUGAAGUAAGAUACGUGUCGGUCAAGUUUGGCAGGCUGGUUUCUCUGUUUGCCUUGUCUGCAUGUCGGUGGGUUAGGGAGUUAUUGACGGAGUUUACUGACUUCUGACCGGUAUCGGUUGGCCGUGGGCGACUUCAAGGCUAAUCAUAGUUGCUUGGCAAGCGGUGGUGCAUGGGUAACUGUGUGGGCGCAUGGCGGUCUUUUUGCUCUCUCGUCUGGCGUUCCUCGAGCGGCUAACUCAGAACUGGCACGGACCAGAGGAAUCCGACUGUCUAAUUAAAAACAAAAGCAUUGCGAAUGUCCACCUAUCGGUUUUGACGCAAUGUGAUUUUCUGCCCCAGUGGUCUCUGAAUGUCAAAAGUGAAGAAAUUCAAUCAAGCGGCGGUAAACGGCGGGAGUAACAUGACUCUCUAGGUAGCCAAAUCCUCAAUCAUGCUAAUUAAGUGACGGCGCAUGAUGGAAUUAACGAGAUUCCCUACUGUCCUAAUCCUACUAUCUAGCGAAACCAACAGCAAGGGAACGGGCCUUGGCAGAAUUAGCGGGAAAGAAGACCCUGUUGAUCCUUGACUGCUAGUCCGACUUUGUGAGGAGACAUGACGGGUGUAGAAUAAGUGGCGAGCGCGGUCCUUUCGGGGCUAUGUCGACAGUGAAAUACCAAAAAAACCACCGUCAUUGUUUCUUUGCUUAUUCAGUAAAAACGAGGAAAUCUGAUUGUUGGUUCUAAGCCCAUCAUGGCUGGCGUCGUGGCGCAUGCUGCGGGGGUUGGUAUCCUGGUCAUGUCAGAAUAGUCGUGGUCUCGGCCGCGCCGUUUGAGUCUAUGAUUGUUGAUGUGCUGACCCGUUCUGCAGGAGACAAUUGUCAGCGGGAGUUUUGACUGGGGCGGUACAUCUGUCAAAUGGUAACGCAGGUGUCCCAAGGUGAGCUCAGCCAGGACGGAAACUCUGGCGUGGAGUAGUAUGUGGGUCUAUGGUGGGGUUGGUGGCGCCUGUGAAACCGAAAGUGUGGGCCGAAAGGUUCGAUCCCAUACCAACUCCAAUCUUUCCUUGCCGCGUCUGGAGCUGCAGUUUCCGUUUGGGGUGUACAGUCGAAGAUCACAAACUAAGUUUACGCUUACAUCACAGCUAUCGCUUUUCGAACGCCCAACCGACCAACUGGAGUCUCACUGCACAUAAACAACUGUUAACCGGCAUCCACAGUCCUAAAAGGGCAGCUUCGGCCUGUAAGCCCAGCGACUGAUCAACAACCACGUUGUAUCCCGCAGCUCUAGCUAGCUUUGUCUCCAUGAAGAUGCAGCAUAUGAUGAAUACACCAGGAGCCAGUUAGCUUGAAUCGAACACCCGCUCGAAUCCUGAAUCACGCGUUUCACUUACGCAGCAAUAAUUUCAAAUCGCCCAGACGAAAUCUACAUUGUACACUUCAAGGCAUGGCCUGCAGACCGCUUGCACUGAUUUCACGUCACUCGUGUAAACGGACCCGAGAUUCGGUGGGCUGACGAGGAAUGAAGGAAACUGUAGUUCUUACAAGACAUAGAUUAGUAUAACUUUUGCACAGAGACCGCUUCGAGUAUUCUGGCCGUUUAAUCAAUGAGAGCAUUAUGGGUGGCAUCGAUGGGACAAAGAGAGAGUGGUUGGAGCACAGGAAGACAAUGGUUGGAAAUAAAGAGAGGCGAAACUUUGAGCCCGUAGCCCACCUUAUCACUGACCGCCACCCCGCCCCGACCGCAAUUGAAGCAGCGCUGUCCUCAUUACCCUGCGGACGACGGACCGAUACAAGUAUGGAAUUCAUCUAUUAGUGCAGUUACAAUGGGAGAUGUUGGCGGGUACUGCUAGGGUGUCCACCACAAAGCAGGAGAAACGAAUAGUGCCUCAUACCAAACCCUUAGUGUCUAAACCGAGAACCUGCUUCGCCAGAAGCCAGAAGGGUGGGUUUAGUGGAAAGCCACCUUUUGCUUUGGAUUACAAUUAUUCUUCACACUGAUUUUUAGACGGAUUGAGGUGUACCGGCUGCAAAAUCUAUUUUCUCAACCUGGAGAACCAGGAGAUUGACUUUGUCCUGGCCUCUACCAUCUGACCUUUCAGGCNNNNNNNNNNNNNNNNNNNNNNNNNCACUGUUCUGCUCGCUGAUAACCCAACAUUAGGGCCGGAAACUUACCGCGUGAAAGGUUUAGGUUAUAACGGAGUCUGUCGUUUGACACUUAGGAUAGGUUUUGUCAGCUCCAGAAACGCGGACGGAGAUCAGUCAGAGGCGCAAAUCGAUAUAUUCACGCCUGAAUUAUGUGAGCACUACUAAAUCGGAGUCUUUGUGGACUAUCACAUGUUUGUUUCAUGCGAAUAGGGCAAUCACAAAUAAUAUUCCUAAUAUAUUAUUACCGAAAUAAACCGAUCAUAAGGAUGACAAAAUAAUAAAAUUAGCAGGCAAUCAACUGAAACGAAAAAAAAAAAAACGAAAUGCUCGUUUGCUAAUAAGAUGAAUGUUAAAUCAAACAAACCACCAGGAGCUUUUUGUCACUGCAUGCUUUUAGCAUAAAGUAGAAAAACAAGUGAAUGAGCGUCACCCCACAGGACUCGAGGGGAACACUAGAAAAUGCAAACACCAUAUAAGUGUAUAAUACUGGAAAAUACAAAAAACCCAUGAAGAUCUGGAGUGGUUAAACCAAACAUAAACAGAGUAUAUACAGGUACAGCUACACGAGGAAAAAAAAUAAAAAAACAAAAAAAAAAAAAGUUGUAAAAGAGGGUAACGAGCCGGAACGACAGUGGAAAUAUACGAUGAUACCAUCAAAAAUAUAACUGAUUAGAUAAAAUGGCGGGAAUAUCCCAACAGAAUAAUGACGAAUCUGGAAGAUAGAUAAUCAAAAAAAACGACAUAAAACAUAAGGACACAAUCGACCACCAACGGACGGGGAAGACAUUUGCCUCAGAGACUCUCACCAGAAUUUUCACGUUUUUCUUGCGCGUCGAGGGGAGUGUCAGUGCUCGGUCGCCGCACACGUCUCUGUUUGACUUUUAUGGGUCAGGCGAUUUGUAGGCAAAAUUCGAUAGAUUAUGCCCCCUUAGAAGAGUAUAGGUUCAUUUGCCGCUGCGGUAGCUCGGGUUACUUUUGCCAUCCAGCCUCAGAGUCUAUCUGUUAUGGAUAGAAGCCAUGCAAAGACUCGAAACAACAUUUUCAGUCAUUAGUUGAUCUUUCGCAACAUUGUGAGAGCAUCAGGACAAGUCACUACUGGCACUUGAAGUUGGCGCGGCGCCGAAUUAGGUGUUAGAAUUUUUUUUACUGUUCUGUCAGCGAUGGGGUCCCCCCUCCGCCUGCUCCCUCGCACUAAACGAUUGCUUCUUGAACGCUCCAUUACCGUGUUUAGAUUUCGAUGAUAUCAACAUUCAUCGUUGCCUCGUUUAAGGAAAGUCCCACAUUCUGCGUGCUUACCGGUCUCUACUUCUCCGAGGGAAUGUUAGAUUAAGUGCCAUAACUGGACGAAAAUCGCACGCACGACUACUAUUAUUAACAAUUUUUUCGCUCCCGGACAUGGUUGGGAGAACUCAAGUUGACAACGGAUCGAGCGGUAUCCCGCACGAUCAAUAAAACUUCGUAUCCUACGAUUAAUCUAUUUCUUAUAUUAAUAUCAUUAUUUAUCCAUUACAUCAUCAAUACAACGUUAAACAUAGCCGCGCCCCAGCAAGUCCCCAAUUGAAUCUACUUCCUUUCUCACCAUCGGUUUGCCCGGUAAGCAAGUAGAAAGAACGGACAUUUUACCAAAAGACAUGCCACAUGGAUUCUCUCUCUUCUUGCCUCCUCCCGCCUCGUCUGUCUGUCUUGUUCCUCCGAACUCUCCCAGUGCGCUGAGAACAGCGCCGCACGCUCCGGCCAACAGAGAACCGCACACCGGUCCCGCCAUUGCCGCUCCCAUGCACGACCUCGGCGAUACCCACCCCACUCGAUGACUCUCCCCAUCUGUUAUUCUCGUUCUCUAUCUACUUUCUACGUCCCCGGCAACCAUGGUCCGUGAGAGAAAGGGCAGUAGUCUCAAUGGGCGGCUUGCGCCGCCCUAACUGCCUGUAACGUUGCUAUGAUGAUUGCACUGACUACUAUUUUUGAUAAUAAUACACAAAGCCUAAUCAAUCGCUAAGAACGACUAGUUUCUUUAUUAGCCUCCUCGUCGAUACCUCGGUCGUGUCACUUGAGUCUACCAACCAUCCGGGUAAGCGAAACAAAAAAUUGUUAAUUGUGUCUUGCGUCGCGAUUUCGGUCCAGUUAUGGCACUACUACUUCCUCGGCGCAGAAUAACGUACGCCGAAUGGACUUUCACCCUAACGGCCAUUCCCCCAUAUAACAUGAUCUAAACACCCGUAUCGCGUUCGGUAUACGUUCAGUGAGCAAUCGUUAGUCAGGGCACACCGACCCAUCGCUCACAAAACAACCUCGCCCAACUAUUCAAGCUGCCAGGUAAAAAGGGACUGUCUGAUGCUCUCACAAUGUUUAGCGAAAACAACAAAUGAGAACCUGAAUGUUGUUAGUCAUUUAUUGUGAGGCUUCAUCCAACAGAAUAGGACUUCACUCGAGCUGGAUGCGCAAAAGUUAACCCCCGAUCACACGCACCCCGACGCAUACCUAAACUCCUUCUAAGGGGACUAGAUCUCUAUACGAACUUUUUGCACACCAUAAAUCGCCGACCCAUACCACCAAGUCACCACAUUCCCCGUUGCGUCGCCCGAUUCACCGGACCAAUUCUCUACACCGUGCAUAAAUUUCUGGUAACCCUCGAAGAGCAUCGUUCUUUCCCGGUCCGUAUGAGUGGUCGGAGUGGUCUAAGGUGCGUUUGAUUACUACUCCAGACGUCAGGACCCGUUUUUGCUAAUCACCCCGCCAAAAAACAUCCAGUUAAAUUUUGACCUGGUACACGGUAAUCCCACACUGUCGUCCGGUCCGUUACCACACCCUCGAACGUCUGACCCGAUACCGUAUUGU